UUUUUUUAUAUAUUCUAUCUUUUCGUUUCGGAUACUUCCCUUCAAAGAGAAAAAGCAUACUAAACGGCAACAGGCGGCUGUGAAACAAAAGGAUAUUGAGCUCAAAGCAGGAUGAAGAAGCGACAGAGGGAGAAAGGAAGGGGAAAAGCAACAGCCAAUGAAAAGAGGUGUCCUUUCGUAGGGAAACAAGUGGACUGACCAAUCGGAUUGCAGCAUACGCAAAUGGCAUCAACAGGCUGUAAACUAAAUAUAUUAAAAAGAAAUUCCCCAGGGAAGCGAAGAAUUUGAAGAAAGCAUAAAAGCCGAAAAUGUUCGAAACUUAUAUUAGCUGGAAGUCCGCCUUAAAACGCCAAAAAUGAUCUGAAGCAGCAAAUCAGGCCCCCGUUCCCCGCUCAUUACACACUUGUUACAAGGGAAUGAGGCAGAAGGCAAAAGAGAGAAGAAGGAAAGAAGGGCAAAGAGGGAGAGCACGAGGUCAAUGAGCUUUGUACUCGUCUCGAGACUCAGGAAAUUUCGACAAAAUACCGCUACAUUGUAUGGCUUUUGCACGUCGAAUGCACAAGUAUCUGUAGUUGUAUCUAUAUCUGUAUCUGUAUCCGUGAGUGUGUAUUACCAAAUAUUGAGCAAUAAGAAUAAGAAUUUCGGUUUCUUUUGGUCAUGAGACAGACAGUUACAAAGCGGCUUUUGUUCCGCUCUCCCCUUUUUGUUCUUUUAAAUCUGCGGCUAAAAAUACACAUUUUGUAAGCUUUUUCAUUUA